rnacentral:rRNA from 1 species
CAGCCGCCGCGGUAAUUCGAAGGGUGCAAGCGUUACUCGGAAUUACUGGGCGUAAAGCGUGCGUAGGCGGUUUGUUAAGUCUGUCGUGAGAGCCCCGGGCUCAACCUGGGAAUGGCGAUGGAUACUGGCGAGCUAGAGUACGGUAGAGGAGAGUGGAAUUCCCGGUGUAGCAGUGAAAUGCGUAGAGAUCGGGAGGAACAUCAGUUGCGAAGGCGGCUCUCUGGACCAGUACUGACGCUGAGGCACGAAAGCGUGGGGAGCAAACAGGAUUAGAUACCCUGGUAGUCCACGCCCUAAACGAUGCGAACUGGACGUUGGGAGCAAUUAGGCUCUCAGUGUCGAAGCUAACGCGUUAAGUUCGCCGCCUGGGGAGUACGGUCGCAAGACUGAAACUCAAAGGAAUUGACGG